GACAGAGGGUGCAAACGUUUGUUCGGAAUUACUGGGCGUAAAGCGCGUGUAGGCGGCUAAGUAAGUCGGGCGUGAAAUCCCACGGCUCAACCGUGGAAGUGCACUCGAAACUGCAUAGCUAGAGUCCUGGAGAGGAAGUGGAAUGCUUGGUGUAGAGGUGAAAUUCGUAGAUAUCAAGCGGAACACCGGUGGCGAAGGCGGCCUUCUGGACAGUGACUGACGCUGAGACGCGAAAGCGUGGGGAGCAAACAGG
rnacentral:rRNA from 1 species